AGAGCCCCGACCAAAUCCGGUUUGUUGCCCAUGGGAUCCGCGUGUUUUUGCGGUGAGGGGAUAUUUUCAACAUAAGUCCUUCCUCUUUUGCGCUGUAUUUCAAUCAGCUAUUUUGUAUUUCUUUUUUUUAAAAUUCGCCCUAUAAAUUUGCGCAUGAGUGCAAUUUAAUCCGCGCCUAAACACUGCGUUUUGGGAGUUGGAUUAUUUCUAGUCUGAGUCCCUACGCAUUUGCGC
rnacentral:lncRNA from 1 species